rnacentral:rRNA from 1 species
CCCUUAGAUGUUCUGGGCCGCACGCGUGCUACACUGAGUGGAUCAGCGGGUCAGGUUGCGCGAAAGCGUUUCCUAAUCUUUAAAUCCGCUCGUGAUGGGGGUUGACGGUUGCAAUUUUCUGUCAUGAACGAGGAAUACCUUGUAAGCGCGGGUCAUCAUCCCGCGCUGAAUACGUCCCUGCCCUUUGUACACACCGCCCGUCGCUCCUACCGAUUGAGUGGUCCGGUGAGGCUUUGGGAUCUGAGCGGAAAGAGCGUUUCGCUGUUUCUGCUCGGAAAACUCAGUCGAACCUUAUCAUUUAGAGGAAGGAGAAGUCGUAACA